GUACCGUCAAUCACACCGGCAUUACCUCCGGCGCGCCUUCUUCCCCAAUGACAGAGGUUUACGACCCGAGGGCCUUCAUCCCUCACGCGGCAUUGCUCCGUCAGGCUUGCGCCCAUUGCGGAAAAAUUCCCUA
rnacentral:rRNA from 1 species